GAUGAACGCUGGCGGCGUGCCUAAUACAUGCAAGUCGAGCGAACGGACGAGAAGCUUGCUUCUCUGAUGUUAGCGGCGGACGGGUGAGUAACACGUGGAUAACCUACCUAUAAGACUGGGAUAACUUCGGGAAACCGGAGCUAAUACCGGAUGAUAUUUUGAACCGCAUGGUUCAAAAGUGAAAGACGGUCUUGCUGUCACUUAUAGAUGGAUCCGCGCUGCAUUAGCUAGUUGGUAAGGUAACGGCUUACCAAGGCAACGAUGCAUAUCCGACCUGAGAGGGUGAUCGGCCACACUGGAACUGAGACACGGUCCAGACUCCUACGGGAGGCAGCAGUAGGGAAUCUUCCGCAAUGGGCGAAAGCCUGACGGAGCAACGCCGCGUGAGUGAUGAAGGUCUUCGGAUCGUAAAACUCUGUUAUUAGGGAAGAACAUAUGUGUAAGUAACUGUGCACAUCUUGACGGUACCUAAUCAGAAAGCCACGGCUAACUACGUG
rnacentral:rRNA from 1 species